rnacentral:rRNA from 1 species
AGCGAACGCUGGCGGCGUGCCUAACACAUGCAAGUCGAGCGCGGGCAUUUCGGGGGUAACCCCGGAUGUGCUGAGCGGCGGACGAGUGAGUAAUACGUGGACAACCUGCCUUAAAGCUUGGGAUAACUCCGGGAAACUGGAGCUAAUACCCGGAUAAGACCACGGUGUCUAUGGAUGCUGAGGUAAAGGCGGCCAGGAAACUGGCUGUUGCUUAAAGAUGGGUCCACGUCCCAUCAGGUA